AUGAAGUGUCUAACAAAGAAGAACACACAAUUGUCCCAGGAGCUCGAAGGGUGCAAGGCUAAGCUCGAGGCCGCAUUGGCCGCUUCAGAGAAUGUCAAGGGGACGCUCGCAGGUAAUAUGUUCUUUGAAAGGUACCUCCGUUUUGUAAUGCGGCAGGCGUGCAACCCUGACUAUAAUAAUGCAGAUGAGGCUGGAGCAAAUCCGGACCAGCAACAACUCCUACGCCAACUAAAGGCUGGCGAGAACGUGCUGACGAGGGUGAGGCAAGAGAAGAACAAGCUUCAAGACGCCAAUACCCAGCUAGGCGAGGAACUGAAAGAUGUUCGCAUUCAGCUGUCUUCUGCCGUAAAGGAGAAUCGGCGACUUCGACACGGCAUUUUUAGUAAGUGCUUGAACGAAUCUUCGAAAAAAGAAUUCAGCGAGGAAGUCGAUUGA
rnacentral:rRNA from 1 species